rnacentral:rRNA from 1 species
GAUGAACGCUGGCGGCGUGCCUAAUACAUGCAAGUAGAACGCUGAAGCUUGGUGCUUGCGCCGAGCGGAGGAGUUGCGAACGGGUGAGUAACGCGUAGGUAACCUGCCUCUUAGCGGGGGAUAACUAUUGGAAACGAUAGCUAAUACCGCAUAAAAGUCGACAUUGCAUGAUGUUGACUUGAAAGGUGCAACUGCAUCACUAAGAGAUGGACCUGCGUUGUAUUAGCUAGUUGGUGAGGUAACGGCUCACCAAGGCGACGAUACAUAGCCGACCUGAGAGGGUGAUCGGCCACACUGGGACUGAGACACGGCCCAGACUCCUACGGGAGGCAGCAGUAGGGAAUCUUCGGCAAUGGACGGAAGUCUGACCGAGCAACGCCGCGUGAGUGAAGAAGGUUUUCGGAUCGUAAAGCUCUGUUGUAAGAGAAGAACGAGUGUGAGAGUGGAAAGUUCACACUGUGACGGUAACUUACCAGAAAGGGACGGCUAACUACGUGC